rnacentral:rRNA from 1 species
GACGAACCGUGCGAACGUUGUUCGGAAUCACUGGGCUUAAAGGGCGCGUAGGCGGGCGGUCAAGUCAGAGGUGAAAUCCCACGGCUCAACCGUGGAAGUGCCCCUGAUACUGAUCGCCUCGAGGGAGGUAGGGGCGUGCGGAACUUCCGGUGGAGCGGUGAAAUGCGUAGAUAUCGGAAGGAACACCGAUGGCGAAAGCAGCGCGCUGGACCUUUACUGACGCUGAGGCGCGAAAGCCAGGGGAGCAAACGGG